rnacentral:piRNA from 1 species
UCUUGUCUUGCAUGUGGGCCCACUGGAGC